rnacentral:rRNA from 1 species
GGGACAGCGGCGAACGGGGGAGUAACACGUGGAUAACCUGCCCUCGGCACCGGGAUAGCCCGGGGAAACCCGGAUUAAUACCGGAUGGCCCGACCGGCUCACGAGCCGGCCGGAAAAGGUAGCUUCGGCCUCCGGCCGAGGAUGGGUCCGCGGCGGAUUAGCUUGUUGGUGGGGUAACGGCCUACCAAGGCUCCGAUCCGUAGCUGGUCUGAGAGGACGAUCAGCCACACUGGGGCUGAGACACGGCCCAGACUCCUACGGGAGGCAGCAGUGGGGAAUCUUGCCCAAUGGGCGAAAGCCUGAGGCAGCGACGCCGCGUGAGGGAGGAAGGCCUUCGGGUUGUAAACCUCUUUCAGGAGGGACGAAGCUACUCGGGUGAAUAGCCCAGAGGGUGACGGUACCUCCAGAAGAAGCCCCGGCUAACUACGUGCCAGCAGCCGCGGUAAUACGUAGGGGGCAAGCGUUGUCCGGAUCUACUGGGCGUAAAGCGCGUGUAGGCGGCCGCGCAGGUCCGUUGUGAAAACUGGAGGCUCAACUUCCAGACGUCGACGGAAACCGUGUGGCUAGAGUCCGGAAGAGGAGAGUGGAAUUUCUGGUGUAGCGGUGAAAUGCGCAGAUAUCAGGAAGAACACCAAUGGCGAAGGCAGCUCUCUGGGACGGUACUGACGCUGAGACGCGAAAGCGUGGGGAGCGAACAGGAUUAGAUACCCUGGUAGUCCACGCCGUAAACGAUGGGUGCUAGGUGUGGGAGGUGUCGACUCCUUCCGUGCCGUAGCUAACGCAUUAAGCACCCCGCCUGGGGAGUACGGCCGCAAGGCUAAAACUCAAAGGAAUUGACGGGGCCCCGCACAAGCAGCGGAGCAUGUGGUUUAAUUCGAUGCAACGCGAAGAACCUUACCAGGGCUUGACAUGCACUGUAAAACCGUAGAAAUACGGUCCUCCUUCGGGACCAGUGCACAGGUGGUGCAUGGCUGUCGUCAGCUCGUGUCGUGAGAUGUUGGGUUAAGUCCCGCAACGAGCCGCAACCCCUGUCCCAUGUUGCCAGCGAGUAAUGUCGGGGGACUCAUGGGAGACUGCCGGUGACCAAUCCGGAGAAGGUGGGGAUGAUGUCAAGUCAUCAUGCCUCCUUAUGUCCUUGGGCUACACACGUGCUACAUUGGCCGGUACAAAGGGCUGCAAACCUGUGAGGGUGAGCGAAUCCCAAAAAGCCGGUCCCGGUUCGGAUUGAAGGCUGAAACUCGCCUUCAUGAAGGCGGAGUUGCUAGUAAUCGCGGAUCAGCAACGCCGCGGUGAAUACGUACACGGGGCUUGUACACACCGCCCGUCACACUACGAGAG